UACGUAGGGUGCAAGCGUUUGUCCGGAAUUAUUGGGCGUAAAGAGCUCGUAGGCGGUGUGUCGCGUCGGCCGUGAAAACUUGCAGCUUAACUGUGGGCGUGCGGUCGAUACGGGCAUCACUGGAGUUCGGCAGGGGAGACUGGAAUUCCUGGUGUAGCGGUGAAAUGCGCAGAUAUCAGGAGGAACACCGGUGGCGAAGGCGGGUCUCUGGGGCCGAUACUGACGCU
rnacentral:rRNA from 1 species